AAUCAACGCUGGCGGCGUGCCUCAGACAUGCAAGUCGAACGAUUAAAGCUCUCUUCGGAGAGUGCAUAGAGUGGCGCACGGGUGAGUAACACGUAAGUAAUCUACCCUCGAGUGGGGAAUAACGUCCGGACACGGGCGCUAAUACCGCAUAAUGCAGCAGCAUCAUAAGAUGACAGUUGUUAAAGAUUUAUCGCUUGAGGAGGAGCUUGCGGCAGAUUAGCUAGUUGGUAAGGUAACGGCUUACCAAGGCUACGAUCUGUAACCGGUCUUAGAGGACGAUCAGUCACACUGACACUGAAUAACUGGUCAGACUCCUACGGGAGGCAGCAGUCGGGAAUUUUGGGCAAUGGGCGAAAGCCUGACCCAGCAACGCCGCGUGAAGGAUGAAGUAUUUCGGUAUGUAAACUUCGAAAGAAUAGGAAGAAUUAAUGACGGUACUAUUUAUAAGGUCCGGCUAACUACGUGCCAGCCGCCGCGGUAACAC
rnacentral:rRNA from 1 species